rnacentral:misc_RNA from 1 species
UCGGAACUUGGAAUGUAUGUUCUGGCCGGGUUCCUGAUCCUGGGUGCUGCAAUCGUGCUGUGCAUACCUGCAAGCAAAGUCAACCGAUAGGUCUGUUCUUAAGCCCUAAACACGCGACAAUCCCGGUUUACCGGGGUUGUCCUCUUCGGGAUCUGCCAGCCACGACAGGCCUGACAAUAUAGAGCGCAUCUCGAAAAGUGUGAAACGGUUUUCGGAAAAGAUGCGCGUUAAAACAAAUAGUUAGAGCGCCGAUCUGAUUCAUU